rnacentral:piRNA from 1 species
UUCAACAGUCAGUGUUCUACACAAGAGGA